UGAAUGAUAUCAUGUAAUUAUGAAGUAUACGACCAGCAUAAGGAUCUACAACAUUCAAGUACUCAUCAAUGUUCUCAUACAGGGUAAUAACCUCAAAUUGCAAACAAAAGAAAUAAAAAAAAGCGAAAUAACAGCUUUGUGAGAUUGAGAAAAGCGAAAUAAAAUCGGGUUUGGUGAAAAAUCAAAAUAUUUAUUGAAAAUAAUUAUUUAAUUUAGUCUUUAGCUUUCACUAGUAGACCCUGCUAAAUUUAUCAUUAAAAUUUAAAAUAAAAAGUAUCUGAGUCUAACACUGACGAUCGCUAAGAUCUAAUAUAUGUUUCAUUUUUGUUUAGCAUACGGUAGCAUCCACGGAGGUAGACGUUAUAUUCAGUGACACUUGUAAUAUUAAAAUUUAAUGGAGAAAAGCUUUAGCGUUCGACCAACAAACAUAAUGAUGGUGCUAAUAGCGUUUGUGUCGUGGUGGACUCUAAAAAAUUGAAGUUGACACGGUUGCAGUGCGAUAGUAUGUCUCAAAAUAAAAAAAAGUAUCGAAUCCACAUGAACAAAGAAGAGACAGGGUAGAAUUUUAAUUAAAGGAUAUAACAAUAUGCUUCAAUCAUUUUGAAUUUUCUUAAUAGAUUCUUGAUAUAAUUUUCUUGACAAAUGAAAAUUGAAGUAUAGAUAAAAUAGUCACAAGGAAAAGGGGCUUUGAAUUGUCACUCCAUUUUCUUUUGUUUAAAUUUUGAAACUUGGAAAGUUAAUUUAGUUAGGAUGAUGUUAAUUUCAGAACCUUUUGUAAAGGAGCGUUUUCAAAAUAUGUAUAAUAUUUUUAUUUUUACUACGGUAGUUGUGAUUAAAGUUGUUAAUAAACUCUGAUUGAGUUAUGUCACUAAUUUGAUCUUAUAUAUUUUGUCAACAAUAAAAAAUAAUCCUAUGGUACUUUUAUUUUAUAAAUAAAACGCGUUUCCACAUUUUUU
rnacentral:lncRNA from 1 species